rnacentral:rRNA from 1 species
CAAUAGCGUAUAUUAAAGUUGUUGCAGUUAAAAAGCUCGUAGUUGAAUUUUUGCUUGCCGCCGAUGUCGGAACUUCCGUACGUUCGGCGGCGUGCAUCCUUGGGUGGAACCUGUGUGGCAUUAGGUUGUCGUGCAGGGGAUGCUCAUCGUUUACUGUGAAAAAAUUAGAGUGUUCAAAGCAGGCUUACGCCGUUGAAUAUGUUAGCAUGGAAUAAUAAGAUAGGACCUUGGUACUAUUUUGUUGGUUUGCGCACCGAGGUAAUGAUUAACAGGGACAGUUGGGGGUAUUCGUAUUCCAUUGUCAGAGGUGAAAUUCUUGGAUUUCUGGAAGACGAACUACUGCGAAAGCAUUUACCAAGGAUGUUUUCAUUAA